GUUGUUUUUUAGAACAGCCUCAGAAGAAACGUUCUAAACCAGAGAAGAAGAAGAAGAAGAAGAAAGAUGCCGAUGGGCCACGUCGGUUAAGGAGGAGAGUGAACCCGGUGGCCUGGUGCCAGCCAUCAGCCAGGCUAAAACAGAUGCUACAACAGAUGCUAAUUUAACACGCUGACCCGCCGGUGGCAGAGAGUCCUGCAGCAUGUGAUUGAGCUGUUGCUACACCCCGCGGCUGCUCUCUAACUGACCCGACCUUCUCUCAGGACGGUAUGUUUUUUACUCUCACCGUUAACGGGUCGCACACACGUUGCGUGAUUGUUGGGAUCAGUGGGAAGGAAAGGUGACCCGUGGCAUGGCUGAAUUCUGCUCCAGCUGCGCUCUGUGCUGGACACAGUCAGACACCAUGCAACAGCCUCUUCUCAUUUCUGCCAAAGACAAAAAUCACCUGGGCAACUGCUUUCCUCAGCUUUGUCUGGCUACACAGGAAUGAGUACAGUGAUGUACUUGACAUUCAUGAAAAGUUUUUUUUUUAGAAAUUAAUUUUCCUGCCGUAUUUUCCAGCAGGGGGCCCAGUUUCCAAACGGGAAGAGACUCAACGUUUUCAUCUGUGGUAACUACACUUCACUGAAAUGCUUUUUUCCUCCUUCUUUUUUUUGACAGUCACAAAACAAUUGUCUGUGGCAUUAUUAUUAUUUAAUUUUUUUUACACCAUUUAAAAACUACGUGAAACAUCUUGUUUUAUGUAACACAAUCACUUUUCACACCUGGACACAGCCAGACUGCACAUGAAGCUAAAAACAGACACAGCAGGGCCACCCCUGGUCAGGAAUGAGGAAGGCCCUGUGCCAGAAACAAGUCCUCUGUGACCUGUGGUGUUUUCUGUGACCCCCUUCUCCCUCACUCCUUCAUAAUAAACCUGUCACUGUGCUGAAACCAA